ACAUCCAUCCCGCGUGUGGAAGUGGCCGGCGUUGGCCCUGCACUCCUGCAGCCUGAGCCACCGCAAAGGUUGGAGAAGAAGAUGGCGAUGCCCCCUUGCCAUUUCCUCCAUGUAGUCUCCGUCGUCGUCUCCAACUCUCCAUGGCCAUGGCUCAGAUCACAGUGCGUGACAGCAUACCCCUAUAGCACACUCGCCAUCGAUCGAGGUAGAGCCCCUGCAGGGUGGAGAUGGAUCGGAGCUUUUCACCAUCACGAGAGAGAGGAAGAGGAGAGGUCAGAGGCCAGUGCGCGACAGUACUUUCUGGUGAGCAGGAGAGGAGCAAGUGGCCAUGGAGUUGUUGUGCGUACAUGUUCUGGAGUGGUGUAGAGAUAGACAUCUCGCCCCUCUAUCCCUCUAUAAAUCCACCUUCUGCUCUUUCUUCUACCUCCAUCCAUCACACCUCUGCACUGUUCUUCCUCUUCCCUCUCCCUAACCCUAGCUUUCUAGCUCCCUCUAGCAGUCCUCUUGUGUAUUUGUUCCUGCUUAUGUGCAUGCCCAUCAAGCUCUAGUUUUGUUUCUAGCAUUAUAUUGCUCCAGAUGGAAUACCAUUUUUUUUGUUCUCUUUGCUCGAUCUUUAUUGCACAGUCAUGUGAAUGAGUGACAGAGAUGGUACAUAUGUUUGAUCAAAUUGAGAUUGUGUGUGCCUGGCUCCCUGUAUGCCACACAUGUAGCCCAACCCGUGGUGUGGUUGCCUGCUGUGGGUGGCGUGCAAGGGGCCAAGCAUGCAUUUUGUGUUCGAUUCUUCUGUCAGUUUUUAUCUCUACCAUAUUCUUCAUGUGUUCACGUUUCACACGCCCUAGUGUCCUUUCAUUUUGUUUGUUCUUGCAGGUGCCUAUCGAAGAAGGGCUGAUAUGCACUUCUUCUUCAGUUUUCCGAUCCUGUCAAGUUACUCAACUAGCCGCUUGCUCCGAAAAAUCAGUGAGGUUAUCCACUUGUGAUUUUUGUUUUUGGUAUUCAGCACAUGACUGAUUCUUGUGCACGUCUUGGGUAGAUAUUUCUGCUCCCUAAAUUCUUGAAAACAACCAUAGUGAAGAGUCUUGAAUUCCUGGUUUUGUUUGAGUAGAUUGAAGGGAAUUAAUGCAUUGUUCUUUUGAUCUGGUCAUGCUUGGAUUUGGGUUGUGUCCUAUUGUUUCUUUCUAUAUGCGCGGUUUUCCUACCUGACAAUCUUUUGUACUUUACUUCCUGUGUGUUCUGAGGCACAUGUGCGCCGAGUGCACAACGUUUUCUAGGAAAAUUUCCACUUUUCCUUUUUUAAAUGUAAAUUUUCAUGCAUUUGGGAUUUAUGCUGCAAAUGGCAAACGCAUAACUGCAUAAGCAUGAGUCUCUUCUUGCUAGACUACGUGAACCAAGAAAUAAUCCGGUUAAUGGUUUCUGCAUUUUCGCUCAUUUCUUUCCUCACAUGUUUUCCAGGACAACCCAUUCUUUACAUUGUAUUUCAAUAAUUAGUCUUUGAAUCCAGUGGGCGUAUCAUAUGCUUAGCAAGUCUAAUCUAUAGCACUACCUCCGGUAAGAUAUACAUUUUGACAUUUCAAAUAACAAGGAGUUUAUAGAUCAAAUUAGCUGUCCAAAAUUAUGUCAUCUAAUUUUCUAACCAAAAUGAUGUCCAAAAUACGUAAGGAUCCGGCAAGAGCUGCUUCUUGCUUGAUCAUUUGUUUUUCUUUUUGCAAAAUAAGGUUAAUUUGAAUGUGACAUAUAUAAAGCAUAUAUUCCGUGCCCCAUACACGUACGCACAUAUAAGGCUUGAAGUGAUUAAGCAGCAAGUUAAUUAAUUGACAGCAGGAAGCAACGGGUCAUGAAGUAUUUAUAUACUAUCGUUUACGCUUAAUCGCUUAUUUCCGUUUAAUUACUAGUAGUAGGUAGAGACCGGCGGAUGUAUGCUGGCCUGGUGCUGCGCAUUGUUCAUAUGUAGAGCAGUUCGAUCUACUGAACUGAUUAGAUGCAAUAUGGGCGUUGGCAUUAUUCAUUUUGUACCAUGAAUAGAUGUUCUUUUGUGUUUCCAUGAAUUGUUGCUUCAUAGUUAUUAUUAGGAUUAGGCCUUUUACAAUAUAGCUUAUCAACAAGCACCAUCGAUUUGCUGUCGCCAAAUGCCCAUGGUGAUCAAGGGCACGCAGGGAUUAGCAUGGGAUCAGCAAUGACUGCUUGUCGUUUUUGUUCUAGAAACCAAUUUGGUUUGUCAUUGUGAUAUUUUUUUUCUUUUGAUGAAAUUAUCAUUGCAAAUGUUGCAAGGUUGUAAGAGUAGCUGAGCAACCUUAAUCUCGCAUUGCAUGCUCCUCAUCUGAGUAUCUGACAGCACCAGCGCGCGCCCAUGCUCUCAGUUUUGUAUGUGCUGAGGGCUUGCAUUGGGACCCACUUGACAGAGAGACCGUAUCCAAGCUUAACACCCGUUGGGAGGCCGACCAGGACGACUCGAUCAGAUCAUAUCGAAGUUGUGUAUCAAGCUGCGUGCUGCAUAACUAACCAACCAGAGUAACAGCUCCAUGUUCGAUCAGCACCAGUACUGCAUCACAAGCAACAGAUAGCUAGGGCACCAGUCCACCACCAUGAUCUGUUGAUGAUGGUCACCAACUCACCAUGGUAUCGCCAGGGCCCACCUGCACCAUCUCACUCUCAUCAUCAUCUACGUGUUUGCUCCUGCCUCCAUGGCCAGCCAGCCAGCAGCCAUUGUUGCGCUGCCUGGACCACCACUCGAGCAGGAGCAGUUCUUCAGUGGCAGAGCUACUAAAGCUGCAGUUCUAUGAGCAAGAACGCAUGCAGGGAUCACUGAUCAGCGACCGCAUCGUCCACAAGGACUUCGCCAUGAUUUGUUGGUGUCUGUGUUGGAGUCCUCAGUGAUUGGAGCGAGCACCUGGGUCCCCCCUCUUGCAUAAUUGUAGUGAUGGAGACGGCGUGGCAGCUGCCCGGCCUCUGCUUGGAUGAGCACCUGCGGCGAUGUUGGACCCCUAGAGACAACACAUCAGUGUCCCAGUUAUCCAAAGUGAUACCACACUGAACCCUUGCUGGAAGUAACUGUCACAGUGUCCCGGAAGCAGGAGCAAGAUAACUGACCCACUGGCCACAAGAUGUGGCUGUUGGAUCACAUUAUUGUUAAUCAUUACAAUUUACAAGCUAGCAGCCCAGCAAGAAUAUGCCUUGGAAUUUGCAGUAAUUCUGGAUUACAGGCUAUGUAUGGUUUAUACUGACAAAGACUUCAGACAUUUCACCAGGUUAUAUACUUGCAAAUUUGUGUAUCACCCAAAAACAGGCACCGCCAGGUUGUACGUGCACAAUGAAAAUGUGUCAUCAAUCCAAUAUUGUACAUUCAGAAGUUUUUUCCCCUCAUAUGUACUGAUUUGGCUCAACAAUGAUGUUCAGAACUUCAGACUACAAAUGAAGCAAUUACAUCUAUACAUGAAAAAUGAAACCGGCUGACGAAUGGAUUACUCACGAUCCGAUACCCCGGUGGAUAUCAUGGAGACCUGUCCAGUGGAUAUCAUGGAGGCUUGCGUUGUCUCAUUGGACAGCAGAGGAGAAGAGUGUGCCAUCAGGGAGGAUAGGAAUGUGGA